rnacentral:rRNA from 1 species
GAGCGUUGUUCGGAUUUACUGGGCGUAAAGGGCGCGCAGGCGGCUCAUUUUGUCAGGCGUGAAAGCCCCGGGCUUAACCUGGGAGGUGCGUUUGAUACGGGUGGGCUAGAGUUCGGGAGAGGAGAGUGGAAUUCCCAGUGUAGAGGUGAAAUUCGUAGAUAUUGGGAAGAACACCGGUGGCGAAGGCGGCUCUCUGGACCGAGACUGACGCUGAGGCGCGAAAGCGUGGGGAGCAAACAGG